rnacentral:misc_RNA from 1 species
GAUGAAGAACGUAGCGAAAUGCGAUAAGUAAUGUGAAUUGCAGAAUUCAGUGAAUCAUCGAAUCUUUGAACGCACAUUGCGCCCCUUGGUAUUCCGAGGGGCAUGCCUAUUCGAGCGUCAUUAUCACCCCUCAAGCCUAGCUUGGUGUUGAGGCCUGCUGUCAAGGCAGCCUCUAAAAUCAGUGGCAGUGUUGUCAGGCUCUAAGCGUAGUAAAUCUAAUCGCUAUAGACACCUGGUGGACACUCGCCAGAACCCCCCCCAUUUUUUAAUGAUUGACCUCGGAUUAGGUAGGGAUACCCGCUGAACUUAAGCAUAUCAAUAAGCGGAGGA